UACGAAGGGGGCUAGCGUUGUUCGGAAUUACUGGGCGUAAAGCGAGUGUAGGCGGUUGUCCAAGUUGGAUGUGAAAGCCUUGAGCUUAACUCAAGAAAUGCAUUCAGGACUGGAUGGCUAGAGGACCGGAGAGGAUAGUGGAAUUCCCAGUGUAGUGGUGAAAUACGUAGAGAUUGGGAAGAACACCAGUGGCGAAGGCGGCUAUCUGGACGGUUACUGGACGCUAAGACUCGAAAGCGUGGGGAGCAAACAGGG
rnacentral:rRNA from 1 species